rnacentral:lncRNA from 13 species
AAAUGCAGACAUGGAGAGACACAGACACACGCGGAGAAGACCAUGUGACAACACAGGCAGAGAUGGGCGUGGUGCGUCUACACAGCAAGGGCUGUUCAAGGGUUGCUGGCAGCCAUCAGAAGCUAAGGUUGUAUUGUGAAUUUGUGGAUGUUCAGCAGUUCAACUGUGUAAUUGUGGAUGAAUUCUGA